rnacentral:rRNA from 1 species
AGCGAACGCUGGCGGCAGGCCUAACACAUGCAAGUCGAACGAACCUUUCGGGGUUAGUGGCGGACGGGCGCGUAACACGAGGGAACGUGCCUUUAGGUUCGGAAUAACUCAGGGAAACUUGUGCUAAUACCGAAUGUGCCCUUCGGGGGAAAGAUUAAUCGCCUUUAGAGCGGCCCGCGUCCGAUUAGCUUGUUGGUUGAGGUAAUGCCACACCAAGGCGACGAUCAGUAGCUGGUCUGAGAGGAUGAUCAGCCACAUUGGGACUGAGACACGGCCCAAACUCCUACGGAAAGGAGCAGUGGGGAAUCUUGCGCAAUGGGCGGAAACCUGACGGAGCAAUGACGCGUGAAUGAUGAAGUUCUUAAAGUUGAAAAAUGCUAUCACCGGGGACGGUAGUGACGGUACCCGGUGAAGAAGCCCCGGCUAACUUCGUG